GACGAACGCUGGCGGCGUGCUUAACACAUGCAAGUCGAACGGAAAGGCCCUGCUUUUGUGGGGUGCUCGAGUGGCGAACGUGUGAGUAACACGUGUGUAACCUGCCCUUGACUUUGGGAUAACUUCAGGAAACUGGUGCUAAUACCGGAUAGGAGCUCCUGCUGCAUUGUGGGGGUUGGUAAGUUUCGGCGGUUGGGGAUGGACUCGCGGCUUAUCAGCUUGUUGGUGGGGUAUUGGCUUACCAAGGCUUUGACGGGUAGCCGGCAUGAGAGGGUGACCGGCCACAUUGGGACUGAGAUACGGACCAGAGGACAACGGGAGGAAGCAGUGGGGAAUAUUGCAAAAUGGGAGGAAGCAUGAUGAAGAAACGCCGCGUGCGGGAUGAAGGCCUUCGGGUUGUAAACAGAAUUAGCAUGUGACGAAGAGUGAGUGACGGUAAUGGGUAAAGAAGCACCGGCUAACUACGUG
rnacentral:rRNA from 1 species